rnacentral:rRNA from 1 species
UGCAGUAGAACGCUGAAGAGAGGAGCUUGCUCUUCUUGGAUGAGUUGCGAACGGGUGAGUAACGCGUAGGUAACCUGCCUUGUAGCGGGGGAUAACUAUUGGAAACGAUAGCUAAUACCGCAUAACAAUGGAUGACACAUGUCAUUUAUUUGAAAGGGGCAAUUGCUCCACUACAAGAUGGACCUGCGUUGUAUUAGCUAGUAGGUGAGGUAAUGGCUCACCUAGGCGACGAUACAUAGCCGACCUGAGAGGGUGAUCGGCCACACUGGGACUGAGACACGGCCCAGACUCCUACGGGAGGCAGCAGUAGGGAAUCUUCGGCAAUGGGGGCAACCCUGACCGAGCAACGCCGCGUGAGUGAAGAAGGUUUUCGGAUCGUAAAGCUCUGUUGUAAGUCAAGAACGGGUGUGAGAGUGGAAAGUUCACACUGUGACGGUAGCUUACCAGAAAGGGACGGCUAACUACGUGCCAGCAGCCGCGGUAAUACGUAGGUCCCGAGCGUUGUCCGGAUUUAUUGGGCGUAAAGCGAGCGCAGGCGGUUUGAUAAGUCUGAAGUUAAAGGCUGUGGCUCAACCAUAGUUCGCUUUGGAAACUGUCAAACUUGAGUGCAGAAGGGGGAGAGUGGAAUUCCAUGUGUAGCGGUGAAAUGCGUAGAUAUAUGGAGGAACACCGGUGGCGAAAGCGGCUCUCUGGUCUGUAACUGACGCUGAGGCUCGAAAGCGUGGGGAGCGAACAGGAUUAGAUACCCUGGUAGUCCACGCCGUAAACGAUGAGUGCUAGGUGUUGGAUCCUUUCCGGGAUUCAGUGCCGCAGCUAACGCAUUAAGCACUCCGCCUGGGGAGUACGACCGCAAGGUUGAAACUCAAAGGAAUUGACGGGGGCCCGCACAAGCGGUGGAGCAUGUGGUUUAAUUCGAAGCAACGCGAAGAACCUUACCAGGUCUUGACAUCCCGAUGCUAUUUCUAGAGAUAGAAAGUUACUUCGGUACAUCGGUGACAGGUGGUGCAUGGUUGUCGUCAGCUCGUGUCGUGAGAUGUUGGGUUAAGUCCCGCAACGAGCGCAACCCCUAUUGUUAGUUGCCAUCAUUCAGUUGGGCACUCUAGCGAGACUGCCGGUAAUAAACCGGAGGAAGGUGGGGAUGACGUCAAAUCAUCAUGCCCCUUAUGACCUGGGCUACACACGUGCUACAAUGGUUGGUACAACGAGUUGCGAGUCGGUGACGGCGAGCUAAUCUCUUAAAGCCAAUCUCAGUUCGGAUUGUAGGCUGCAACUCGCCUACAUGAAGUCGGAAUCGCUAGUAAUCGCGGAUCAGCACGCCGCGGUGAAUACGUUCCCGGGCCUUGUACACACCGCCCGUCACACCACGAGAGUUUGUAACACCCGAAGUCGGUGAGGUAACCUUU